GAUGAACGCUGGCGGCGUGCUUAACACAUGCAAGUCGAACGGAAAGGCCCAAGCUUGCUUGGGUCCUCGAGUGGCGAACGGGUGAGUAACACGUGGGUGAUCUGCCCUGCACUUCGGGAUAAGCCUGGGAAACUGGGUCUAAUACCGGAUAGGACCACAUUUUGGAUGGUGUGGUGGAAAGUUUUUCGGUGUGGGAUGAGCUCGCGGCCUAUCAGCUUGUUGGUGGGGUAAUGGCCUACCAAGGCGUCGACGGGUAGCCGGCCUGAGAGGGUGUACGGCCACAUUGGGACUGAGAUACGGCCCAGACUCCUACGGGAGGCAGCAGUGGGGAAUAUUGCACAAUGGGCGCAAGCCUGAUGCAGCGACGCCGCGUGGGGGAUGACGGCCUUCGGGUUGUAAACUCCUUUCGCUAGGGACGAAGCGUUUUUGUGACGGGACCUGGAGAAGAAGCACCGGCGAACUACGU
rnacentral:rRNA from 1 species